AUUGAACGCUGGCGGAAUGCUUUACACAUGCAAGUCGAACGGCAGCACGGACUUCGGUCUGGUGGCGAGUGGCGAACGGGUGAGUAAUGUAUCGGCACGUGCCCAGUCGCGGGGGAUAACGUAGUGAAAAUGACGCUAAUACCGCAUACGAUCUAUGGAAGAAAGCGGGGGAUCGCAAGACCUCGCGCGAUAGGAGUGGCCGAUAUCAGAUUAGGUAGUUGGUGGGGUAAAGGCCCACCAAGCCAACGAUCGGUAGCUGGUCUGAGAGGACGACCAGCCACACUGGAACUGAGACACGGUCCAGACUCCUACGGGAGGCAGCAGUGGGGAAUUUUGGACAAUGGGCGAAAGCCUGAUCCAGCCAUUCCGCGUGCAGGAUGAAGGCCCUCGGGUUGUAAACUGCCUUUGUACAGAACGAAAAGGUUUCUACUAAUACUAGGAGCUCAUGACGGUACUGUAAGAAUAAGCACCGGCUAACUACGUGCCAGCAGCCGCUGUAA
rnacentral:rRNA from 1 species